rnacentral:rRNA from 1 species
AUAAUGGGUCAGCGACUUAUAUUCUGUAGCAAGGUUAACCGAAUAGGGGAGCCGAAGGGAAACCGAGUCUUAACUGGGCGUUAAGUUGCAGGGUAUAGACCCGAAACCCGGUGAUCUAGCCAUGGGCAGGUUGAAGGUUGGGUAACACUAACUGGAGGACCGAACCGACUAAUGUUGAAAAAUUAGCGGAUGACUUGUGGCUGGGGGUGAAAGGCCAAUCAAACCGGGAGAUAGCUGGUUCUCCCCGAAAGCUAUUUAGGUAGCGCCUCGUGAAUUCAUCUCCGGGGGUAGAGCACUGUUUCGGCAAGGGGGUCAUCCCGACUUACCAACCCGAUGCAAACUGCGAAUACCGGAGAAUGUUAUCACGGGAGACACACGGCGGGUGCUAACGUCCGUCGUGAAGAGGGAAACAACCCAGACCGCCAGCUAAGGUCCCAAAGUCAUGGUUAAGUGGGAAACGAUGUGGGAAGGCCCAGACAGCCAGGAUGUUGGCUUAGAAGCAGCCAUCAUUUAAAGAAAGCGUAAUAGCUCACUGGUCGAGUCGGCCUGCGCGGAAGAUGUAACGGGGCUAAACCAUGCACCGAAGCUGCGGCAGCGACACUGUGUGUUGUUGGGUAGGGGAGCGUUCUGUAAGCCUGCGAAGGUGUGCUGUGAGGCAUGCUGGAGGUAUCAGAAGUGCGAAUGCUGACAUAAGUAACGAUAAAGCGGGUGAAAAGCCCGCUCGCCGGAAGACCAAGGGUUCCUGUCCAACGUUAAUCGGGGCAGGGUGAGUCGACCCCUAAGGCGAGGCCGAAAGGCGUAGUCGAUGGGAAACAGGUUAAUAUUCCUGUACUUGGUGUUACUGCGAAGGGGGGACGGAGAAGGCUAUGUUGGCCGGGCGACGGUUGUCCCGGUUUAAGCGUGUAGGCUGGUUUUCCAGGCAAAUCCGGAAAAUCAAGGCUGAGGCGUGAUGACGAGGCACUACGGUGCUGAAGCAACAAAUGCCCUGCUUCCAGGAAAAGCCUCUAAGCAUCAGGUAACAUCAAAUCGUACCCCAAACCGACACAGGUGGUCAGGUAGAGAAUACCAAGGCGCUUGAGAGAACUCGGGUGAAGGAACUAGGCAAAAUGGUGCCGUAACUUCGGGAGAAGGCACGCUGAUAUGUAGGUGAAGUCCCUCGCGGAUGGAGCUGAAAUCAGUCGAAGAUACCAGCUGGCUGCAACUGUUUAUUAAAAACACAGCACUGUGCAAACACGAAAGUGGACGUAUACGGUGUGACGCCUGCCCGGUGCCGGAAGGUUAAUUGAUGGGGUCAGCGCAAGCGAAGCUCUUGAUCGAAGCCCCGGUAAACGGCGGCCGUAACUAUAACGGUCCUAAGGUAGCGAAAUUCCUUGUCGGGUAAGUUCCGACCUGCACGAAUGGCGUAAUGAUGGCCAGGCUGUCUCCACCCGAGACUCAGUGAAAUUGAACUCGCUGUGAAGAUGCAGUGUACCCGCGGCAAGACGGAAAGACCCCGUGAACCUUUACUAUAGCUUGACACUGAACAUUGAGCCUUGAUGUGUAGGAUAGGUGGGAGGCUUUGAAGUGUGGACGCCAGUCUGCAUGGAGCCGACCUUGAAAUACCACCCUUUAAUGUUUGAUGUUCUAACGUUGACCCGUGAUCCGGGUUGCGGACAGUGUCUGGUGGGUAGUUUGACUGGGGCGGUCUCCUCCUAAAGAGUAACGGAGGAGCACGAAGGUUGGCUAAUCCUGGUCGGACAUCAGGAGGUUAGUGCAAUGGCAUAAGCCAGCUUGACUGCGAGCGUGACGGCGCGAGCAGGUGCGAAAGCAGGUCAUAGUGAUCCGGUGGUUCUGAAUGGAAGGGCCAUCGCUCAACGGAUAAAAGGUACUCCGGGGAUAACAGGCUGAUACCGCCCAAGAGUUCAUAUCGACGGCGGUGUUUGGCACCUCGAUGUCGGCUCAUCACAUCCUGGGGCUGAAGUAGGUCCCAAGGGUAUGGCUGUUCGCCAUUUAAAGUGGUACGCGAGCUGGGUUUAGAACGUCGUGAGACAGUUCGGUCCCUAUCUGCCGUGGGCGCUGGAGAACUGAGGGGGGCUGCUCCUAGUACGAGAGGACCGGAGUGGACGCAUCACUGGUGUUCGGGUUGUCAUGCCAAUGGCACUGCCCGGUAGCUAAAUGCGGAAGAGAUAAGUGCUGAAAGCAUCUAAGCACGAAACUUGC